rnacentral:lncRNA from 1 species
GCUAGAUAGAUACCUGAGCUCUGCAGGACUUUCCAUCCCUGCUGGUUGGGAGUCCCAGCUACCCUUCCCUGUCUAUCCCUUUCGCUGACCAAUCAAGAAACAGGUUUUGAGGAGACUUAACAUCCCCAUCUGCUUUCCACUCCUGCUUUGCACCUGCCUCAUCUUAUGCUGGUCCAGUGCAAUGGCCCAGCAGCAGGUCUCCAUUUCCGUGGUGAUUACCUAUAAUCUUUGCCCAUUUGCAUUAUAGAUUGGUAAACAUACAACGAAAAAACAACCAAGGUACCUAAAUACAUAAACCUUUUCAUUAUCUGAACUCCUACCAAGUCCUCCAGGCUCUGGGGCCUGUCCACCUUCUCGAAUCUUGCCUGCACUCAUUCCCAAAAUCACUGCCCUACACUGCCACAUAAAAUCUACAGCUUGUCCCAUUUCUCUACCUUGAUAUAUGCUUUUCCUGUUGCUUGGAAGAAAAAUCUUCCUUGUUUAUCUGUAAGUCUCUAACCCAAAUCAAAAUUCAGAUCAAGAUUAUUACCUCUAUGAACUACCUGGGAGAAGUAAAACACUUCUUUGCAUCCAUGAUGCACUGAAUCUUCUGCACUGAAUCUGCCACCUGCUCAACAUAGACUCUUAGGGUCAUGGCAGAUUUGCAUGUUGUUUUCCCCAAACACCAUUCAGACACCAAUAUCAGACACAUUUUAAAGUAACCAGUUAAAUACCAAGGUCACAGCACUGUCUGGCACAUAGCAGGAGCUCAAAAAAACAAUGGUGUUAUUCAUCUCACUUUCAUUUAUGAGAGUGUUCUGAAUUAUAAAUUAGAUAAAUUGUUACUCAGUACAAGAUUAAUGAAUACCCCAUACUAGUAUACCAAAGAGUGUGAAAGAUCAAACCAUUCAUACUAACAAGGCACUCUCCAAAAAUCCAACCUGUCCUCUGAGCCUCAGGUACAGAUCACAGCCCCAAAGAUACUCACCAUCAGGACAGAUCACAGGACUGAAGGCCUCUGUCCCCACAUGUGUCACCAUGAGUACAGACAUGCCUCACUUUAUUGUGUUUUAAUGUAUUACACUUUGCAGAUACUGUGUUUUUUACAAAUUGAAGCUUCAAGACUUCAGUGGAGGAAGUAACUACAAAUGUGGUAGAAAUAACAAAAGAACUAGAAUUAUAAAUUAUAAUAUAAUGACUUAUAAGAACAAUAUAUUUGAUCAUUCAGAUUACUGAAUAUAUAUUUCUUAAAUAUAUUUGGUGUUCAUCCACAGUUUCUGAAAUGCUUCAGAGCCAUAAAAGUGAAAUGAGUGUCCUGUUAUUAAUGAAUAUGACUUUUGGACCCCACCCAAAAGCCAGGGAUGGUUGUCAGGAGGACCAGUUAUAUGAUCAUAAGAUUAGAACUUUCAGUCCUACCAGCCAACUUCUGGAGAGGAGGAAGCAGCUAGAGGUUGAAUCAGUCAAUGGCCAAUGAUUUAGAUGUGACUACAUAAUGAAGCCUCCAUAAAACCCCAAGAGGACUGGGCUCAGAAAGCUCCUCGGUUGGUGCACACAUGAGGAUAUAGAGAGAUUACACCUGGAGGGGGCAGGAAGCUCCAUAUUUUUAUACAAUACCUCACUCUAUAUAUCUCUUUAUCUAGUUGUUAACUUGCAACCUUUAUGAUAUACUUUAAUAAACUGGUAAGUGUAAGUAAAUGUUUCCCUGAGCCUUGUGAGUUGCUGUAGCAAACUGAAAGAACCAAAGGAGGAGAUCACUGGAACUCCAAUCUAUAGCAGCUGAGUCAGAAGCACAAGUAACAGCCUGGGGCUUCGCACUGGCAUCUGAACUAAGAGGUAGUAGGCAGAAGAAUCUUAUAGGAUUGAAUCCUUAACCUGUGAAAUAUGAUGGUGUCUCUGGGUAGACAGUAUCAGAACUGAGUUGCAUUCUUAAAUACCCUACUAGUGUCCAAGAAUUGCUUGGUUUUGUUGGGAGGGCGGUGCCUCUCCCCACACAUUGGAACUGGGUCUGGUGACCCAACAAGAAUUGGUGUCAGUAGAGAACUAGAACCUGAAGAUAUGAUUGGAUUGCUGCAAUCUCAUUAUAAAAUUUUAAGGAUUAUAAUUGAGAAGGGAAUAAAGAUAGUUCAGAGUCAAGCCUGGCUUUCCUAAGUAUUAUGGAAGGAGUGGAAAUGCUCUGGGUCUGUUCAAGGUUGGAUGUCUAAAGUUUUGCUAU